rnacentral:rRNA from 1 species
GCAGUCGCCGCGGGAAUACGAAGGGGGCUAGCGUUGUUCGGAAUUACUGGGCGUAAAGCGCACGUAGGCGGACAUUUAAGUCAGGGGUGAAAUCCCGGGGCUCAACCCCGGAACUGCCUUUGAUACUGGGUGUCUAGAGUAUGGAAGAGGUGAGUGGAAUUCCGAGUGUAGAGGUGAAAUUCGUAGAUAUUCGGAGGAACACCAGUGGCGAAGGCGGCUCACUGGUCCAUUACUGACGCUGAGGUGCGAAAGCGUGGGGAGCAAACAGGAUUAGAUACCCGGGUAGUCCCUGUCUCUUAUAC